GAUGAACGCUGGCGGCUUUCCUAAUACAUGCAAGUCGAGCGAACAGACGAGGAGCUUGCUCCUCUGACGUUAGCGGCGGACGGGUGAGUAACACGUGGAUAACCUACCUAUAAGACUGGGAUAACUUCGGGAAACCGGAGCUAAUACCGGAUAAUAUAUUGAACCGCAUGGUUCAAUAGUGAAAGACGGUUUUGCUGUCACUUAUAGAUGGAUCCGCGCCGCAUUAGCUAGUUGGUAAGGUAACGGCUUACCAAGGCAACGAUGCGUAGCCGACCUGAGAGGGUGAUCGGCCACACUGGAACUGAGACACGGUCCAGACUCCUACGGGAGGCAGCAGUAGGGAAUCUUCCGCAAUGGGCGAAAGCUUGACGGAGCAACGCCGCGUGAGUGAUGAAGGUCUUCGGAUCGUAAAACUCUGUUAUUAGGGAAGAACAAAUGUGUAAGUAACUAUGCACGUCUUGACGGUACCUAAUCAGAAAGCCACGGCUAACUACGUG
rnacentral:rRNA from 1 species